rnacentral:lncRNA from 1 species
UCGUGAUCCACCGGCCUCGGCCUCCCAAAGUGCUGGGAUUACAGACGUGAGCCACUGCGCCCGGCUGUGUCCUAUCAUUUCAACUUGGUAAAGACUUCGCCUGGCUGAUGGAGAUCACAGUUAAGUGGGAAUGAAAACAGGUUCUGUGUCCAUGCCAAGUCUACAGUUGGGUUAAUAGUUGGCAAGUCUGCUACCAGGGCCACAUAUGGUUGUGGCUUCCACCAGGCCUAUGAGCAGUACUGCCUCCAGACCAAGGGAAAGCUGGACUGGAGUUGGGUCAUGGAACUGCUUUAAAGACCAUAGUUGGGUCCAAGGUCUGCAGGUCCUAUUACUAGGAGCACACACAGGUGUGGCUCCCAAGUCCUUUGGUGGAAGUGGCUGAAGGCAGCAGUGUGUGGACUUACUUCUCAAAGAGGCACUCCUUGGCCUUGGAUCUAACAAUUGUUUUAUAACCAGCUAUUUGGAUCCCAAGACUCUCACAAAGUCAAAUUUGUCUGUUUAUGCCACCAAAUAUUUGUUUCUCUGGGACGACACAGGCUUGGGACCCCCUCUUCUGCCAUCCUGCUGAUGGCAUUCUCAUUACUUUUUUAAAAAAUUUGUAUUCUACUGAACUUAUGUUUACUUUUUGUAACCCGCAUUAAAAAAAUUUAUUGCAUUCCUUACCCUAUUGCAUUAUUUUCUAUGUAUAUUUGUAAGAGAUCAUUUGAUUUCCUGACCCAUCUUCUGUGAAAAGAACUAUAUUUAAAUAUAUAAUAAUCCAUAAACUUUGCACAAUUUUUAAUUACUUGAAAAUUAAUCAACUUUCCUUCAUAAGUUGAUAAUAUGGUUAUGAAUUGUCUGAGUGCUAUUGUACAGGAGAUGUGGCAGAUUUCAAUACUGUUGAAAUAUUCACUGCCCCUUCUCAGCCAAUUAUAAUUUCCUGCUCCAAGAUCUCAAACUUUGCCAUGCAACUUGUUUUAUUCUAUAAAAUGUGAAUAAAAGUAACUUGUUCCA